rnacentral:lncRNA from 1 species
AGAUGCUUCCUGUCCUUGAACAUCAGACUUCAAGUUCUUCAGUUUUGGGACUUGGACUGGCCCCUUGCUCCUCAGCUUCCCAAUGGCCUACUGUGGGACCUUGUGAUCAUAUUUCUUUUUUAUUUUCAUUUAUUAAAUACAGAAGAAAUAUUUCGCUGAAGACACAGGAAACCCUAUUUUGUAUAAACGAGGGAUUGCAAGAGAUUGUUGGAAGAUCAAAGAUGGGUGAAUUGGAGGGCUGAAAAGUUACUCUGACAUUUGCCGAGACCAGCUUGGUCGGGAAGACCCUAACCCAGCGGUGCUAGAGGAAUUAAAGACACACACACAGAAAUAUAGAGAUGUGGACUGGGAAAUCAGGGAUCUCACAGCCUUCAGAGCUGAGAGCCUCGAACAGAGAUUUACUCACGUAUUUAUUAACAGCAAGCCACUGAUAAGCAUUGUUUCUGUAGAUUAUAGAUUAACUAAAAGUAUUCCUUACAGGAAAUAAAGGGAUGGGCCGAAAUAAAGGGAUGGGUCUGGCUAGUUAUCUGCAGUAGGAGCAUGUCCUUAAGGCACAGAUCGC